AAAUGGAAUCGCUAGAAGCAGACCCUGAAUCCCUCACCUCUUCAUGGUGAGUGCUUAAUGUCCACCUUGGACUGGGGCUGUGUCCUAUUUUCUUAAGAGGGUCUACUAGAACAGAUAUUUCUAGCUUAAUGUUUAUAGUCAGAGAAGGUAGAAACGAACAAAAACAAUAAUCACAACACGAGGGUCUCCAGUUCUAAGGAAACUGUUGUCAGCGUUGAGGUCUGUAAUAGCCACUUGUAAAUGUGUAAUGGGAAAGGAGUGGGACUUGUGGCUGAUGUCAGCAGGGCAGCUUUUGUCAGAAGCUGCUCUUUUUGCUUUUCCUUUAGAAGCCAGAUCUGAAAGACCCAUUUUCCUCAGAAUUUCUGCUCCGAGGCCAGUCAAGCACUGUAGAUUCAAGCAUGAGGAUCACCAGUGCGAAGCUUUUCGGAUGUCAACAGCAAAAGUGAUUCUGUAGCUGAGCCCUCCAGGUCAAACACCUGCAUAUGCUCUUGGCCUUCAUGUCUGCAUUUCCCUGGAGGAGGGAAACAAGCCUGCCUUCUCCCUUCCAGACUCCAAGGUGAGAGGGAACUCAAGCGAGACCCAGAGAGACGGUAUUCUUUCUACUUCUGCUGAGCAUUCUGAGCAUGUUGUUUAAAGGGUCAAGAACUUGAACUUAGACAGAGAAAACGAAUUAAAAUAUGUGAUUAUGUUAGUCUCAAACUCCUAGUUAGCGCCCCCUGCCCAACCUUUCCCCUUUGGUAACCACAAGUUUGUUUUCUAUGUCAAAGGUCA
rnacentral:lncRNA from 1 species